AAAAACACCGACCUCAUUGCACCACUAUUAUUUGUAGUUGUACCUCACAAAGCACCUCCCUCAAAGUCUUCGCAAAAACGUCACCCACCACCACGAAAAUUCAUAACCAAAUAAAACGACAAUUUUGUAAUUCUUGAUUUAAUAAAAAAAUUAAGUAAAAAACAAUAUUCUUACCAUUUUGUCGCCAUAUAAUAAGAAGAAGAGAGACACAACACAACACAAGUAGUAGAAGUGGUGUAGUGAUUACGGUGUAACGCUUAUUCCAAAAACCCCACGCGCGUAGGGCCCACCUCUCCCCCGAAUCCCCAUGAUUUUCUUUAACGUCUCUCGAGUGCUGGUGGGACCCUUGUUUUAUGGAACCCUGAUGUAGUUUUAUGUACUUUCAUUUGUGACCCUUAUACUUCUGUUAAUUACAAUCUUGCCGCUAUUUUGUUGCUUCCUUCUUGUUUUUGUUACCUUAAAACUUUUGUUUGAAUGCCUUCAGAAAAAGUUUACUUCUCUUUAGACGGAUGUGAUCACUUGUUCAAUGUAACACCACCGUAAGUUACAGUG